rnacentral:lncRNA from 1 species
CUUCUUCUUUGUUAACUCCCGAGCUCGUUGUCUGAAGAAGAGAUUUCAAACGGCGAAUCUCAUCCCUCGCCUCCAGUAAACUCAUCUUCUGCCAACUACAUUGUUUCUCAACAUCAGCCCAUGAAACAAAGCCAUGGACAUCACACUUGUAAAAUCUCCUUCCUGGAUUAUCAUCUGUCCAUGCCUUCAACUUAAUUGUAGACCUACCACAGUUACAAGCACGUCCCCAGCUCACCUCUCCACAACUCUUGUUGCU